rnacentral:rRNA from 1 species
UUAAAAAUGUGAAUUAAAAGAUUAGAUUAGUAUUAGUUAAGAUCUUUAAAAUUAAAAAUUUUGGCGGUAAUUUAGUCUUUUCAGAGGAACCUGUUCUAUAAUUGAUAAUCCACGAUAAAUUAUACUUAAAUUUAGUUUUCAUAUCGUCGUAGAGAAUAUUUUAUUAGAAUAAAAAUAUUCAAAAAUUUUUAUUAAAUUAAAAAUCAGAUCAAGGUGUAGCGUAUAUUUAAGAAGAAAUGGGUUACAUUAUUAUUAUUUAUGGAUAAUAAGUUGAAAAUUUAUUUGAAAUUGGAUUUG